UACGUAGGGGGCGAGCGUUGUCCGGAUUUAUUGGGCGUAAAGAGCGUGUAGGCGGCUUGGUAGGUCUCGCGUCAAAACCUGCGGCUCAACCGCAGUUCGCGUGGGAAACCACCUAGCUAGAGUCCGGAAGAGGAGAACGGAAUUCCCAGUGUAGCGGUGAGAUGCGCAGAUAUUGGGAAGAACACCAGUGGCGAAGGCGGUUCUCUGGGACGGUACUGACGCUGAGACGCGAAAGCGUGGGGAGCGAACAGG
rnacentral:rRNA from 1 species